UUUUAAGAGUAAAGUAUUGUUUUUGUUCCUAACGUUUGGGAUAAGUUUUAUUUGUAUUUUUAACGUUUAAAUUAUCUUAUUUGUAUCUUUAACAUUUAUAAAAGUGACUCAAUAUUAUCCUACUAUCAAUUAUACUAACAAAUCAGAUUAUAUUUUUCAAUUA